AAAAACUAGCUGUUAACAAAGUCCAAACCAAUUGUAAAUGAUUUCUGGAGACUGUAGCUAGAUUUAAGUUUGGGUCUUCACUUUGUCCAAGAUUUUGUAUAAUGGACACUUAGGUGUCUUAAUUGCAGACCUUAAUUGCAUCUUUUGUGGGGUGAGGGGGAAGCACCUCCUUUGUUCUGCCUGUGUCCCACUAGUUCACUUGCCUCCUUACCUGUGCAGCCCGUUCUUCCCUUUGUGAGCCUUCCAAAGGUUUUCUGCCGCCUUGGGCAUGCACGAUGUUAAGCAGCCCCAAGAACUUUUGUCUCUUGUGUUCUAGGACUCCUUGAAUACUGAGGAAAGAAAGAAUACAUGUUUCCAUCUUUCAGGCGAAACGCCGAGAAGGAGGUCCCUGUACGUGGCCUCUGUGAAGAGUGAGAGGAAGGGUCCUUGUCUGAAGAAGGCUUGACCGAACAAAGUCGCUGCUCCCAGCAGUUUGACGUCUCUCACACGACCUGUGUUGAGGGUGUGAUACGUGAGGCACCUUACUCAGCCAGAACUGGCAGAUCUCUUGUCAGUUAAUGCAACUGCAGGAGCUAAAAGAGUGGUUUCUCUGGGCCAGCGUGGAGCCUACCUCUAAACACUCCAGCCUGAAAACCCUGACCUAUAAUUGUAAAGGGACGUACUCAGAGCCAAAUGGAGUCUACAUCAAACUCCACAGUACAAUGGUUAUAAUGUUAAACAAGUUUGUAUUUUAACUGAAACAGAAGUACCAGUGGGAAAGACUCGCUCCCUAGAGUGUGACUGGCCUGCUGCAGGUGCUGGAGGUGAGCCAGUGUCAGGGCAAAAUGCUGCUUCUCUUAGGCGUCUCUUGGUAAAUCUUAGAUUUUACUGUGAAUUAAACCAACUGUCUCCCCCCAUAUAGUGAGGGAGGCCGAUGGAAUUUGGUAGGAACUGAGCACCCAUCUGGGAUCUUUGGCCUGCCCCUCAGCAUCUCCG
rnacentral:lncRNA from 1 species